rnacentral:rRNA from 1 species
UGGCGGGGUAACGGCCCACCAAGGCUACGAUCAGUAGGGGUUCUGAGAGGAAGGUCCCCCACAUUGGAACUGAGACACGGUCCAAACUCCUACGGGAGGCAGCAGUGAGGAAUAUUGGUCAAUGGACGAGAGUCUGAACCAGCCAAGUAGCGUGCAGGAAGACGGCCCUAUGGGUUGUAAACUGCUUUUAUAAGGGAAUAAAGUGAGUCUCGUGAGACUUUUUGCAUGUACCUUAUGAAUAAGGACCGGCUAAUUCCGUGCCAGCAGCCGCGGUAAUACGGAAGGUCCGGGCGUUAUCCGGAUUUAUUGGGUUUAAAGGGAGCGUAGGCCGGAGAUUAAGCGUGUUGUGAAAUGUAGAUGCUCAACAUCUGCACUGCAGCGCGAACUGGUUUCCUUGAGUACGCACAAAGUGGGCGGAAUUCGUGGUGUAGCGGUGAAAUGCUUAGAUAUCACGAAGAACUCCGAUUGCGAAGGCAGCUCACUGGAGCGCAACUGACGCUGAAGCUCGAAAGUGCGGGUAUCGAACAGGAUUAGAUACCCUGGUAGUCCGCACGGUAAACGAUGGAUGCCCGCUGUUGGUCUGAAUAGGUCAGCGGCCAAGCGAAAGCAUUAAGCAUCCCACCUGGGGAGUA